rnacentral:rRNA from 1 species
UACGUAGGGUGCAAGCGUUAAUCGGAAUUACUGGGCGUAAAGCGUGCGCAGGCGGUUUUGUAAGUCUGUUGUGAAAUCCCCGGCUCAACCUGGGAAUGGCAAUGGAGACUGCAAGGCUAGAGUUUGGCAGAGGGGGGUAGAAUUCCACGUGUAGCAGUGAAAUGCGUAGAUAUGUGGAGGAACACCGAUGGACGAAGGCAGCCCCCUGGGUCAAAACUGACGCUCAUGCACGAAAGCCGUGGGGAGCAAACAGG